rnacentral:snoRNA from 1 species
ACUGUUGUGAUGAGCCUUAACAUGUAAAGGCCGGGAAGAUUGCCUUGGACCUUAUGUGAAAUACUCUUCUUAUGCUUAGCUUCUGAGAUGAA